ACCCUCUCAGGGUCGUAACUGGAGAGUUUCCAGUACUCUACCAGUCUUGGCUACAGGAGGGAGAGUCAAGCAGAGGCAUACCCAUUCCAUUCCUAGCUUGGGCAGUGGGUUGCGAGUGGAAGGCAAUCUGCUACAAAG